rnacentral:rRNA from 1 species
AUACCGCAUAUGCCGAGAGGUGAAAGGAUUUAUUGCCUGAGGAUGAGCUCGCGUCGGAUUACCUAGUUGGUGGGGUAAAACCCUACCAAGGCGACGAUCCGUAGCUGGUCUGAGAGGAUGACCACCCACACUGGGACUGAGACCCGGCCCAGACUCCUACGGGAGGCAGCAGUGGGGAAUUUUUCGCAAUGGGCGCAAGCCUGACGGAGCAAGACCGCGUGAGGGAAGACGGUUUGUGGAUUGUAAACCUCUUUUGAUAGGGAAGAAGGACUGACGGUACCUAUUGAAUCAGCCUCGGCUAACUCCGUGCCAGCAGCCGCGGUAAUACGGAGGAGGCAAGCGUUAUCCGGAAUUAUUGGGCGUAAAGCGUCCGUAGGUGGUUGGUCAAGUCAGCUGUUAAAGCGCGGAGCUUAACUCCGUAAGGGCAGUUGAAACUGGUCAGCUAGAGUGCGAUAGGGGCAAGGGGAAUUCCCAGUGUAGCGGUGAAAUGCGUAGAUAUUGGGAAGAACACCGGUGGCGAAAGCGCCUUGCUGGGUCUGCACUGACACUGAGGGACGAAAGCUAGGGGAGCGAAUGGGAUUAGAUACCC